rnacentral:rRNA from 1 species
UACCAGCACCCCGAGUGGUCGGGACGUUUAUUGGGCCUAAAGCAUCCGUAGCCGGUUCUACAAGUCUUCCGUUAAAUCCACCUGCUUAACAGAUGGGCUGCGGAAGAUACUAUAGAGCUAGGAGGCGGGGAGAGGCAAGCGGUACUCGAUGGGUAGGGGUAAAAUCCGUUGAUCCAUUGAAGACCACCAGUGGCGAAGGCGGUUUGCCAGAACGCGCUCGACGGUGAGGGAUGAAAGCUGGGGGAGCAAACCGG